rnacentral:rRNA from 1 species
UGGAUGCGAUCAUACCAGCGCUACA